GCCUUCGUAGUGUAGUGGUCAGCACACUCGGCUCGUAUUGGAGAGUUCCUUGGUUCAAGUCCCGGCGAGGGCA
rnacentral:tRNA from 1 species